UUUUAGUAAGCCUUUGUCUCA
rnacentral:snRNA from 1 species